AAACUACUGCUCUCUUCUGUCGGUUAAAGAGACCCAACCUACGUGUAGAUAUAAGGAACAGUGUAAUCCGGAGAGCAUCAGCGCGGCUCCAGUGAGACCACUAUCCAAAGCCCAGAGACCCAAAAACAACAGCAGCAGAGGGGGAGUCACUCCUACAGCAACACUGUGAGGUCACAAAGAGAUAUAGGGAUGGUUUUAAAAGACUUUCCAGCUUCCAAUCACAGUUUUCCAAGAAUGAUUUUCCAAAGUUUUCCAGGUCCGUCUCUCAGCAGGCAGGGAUCGAGCCCUGGAAGCUGGAAUGUGACACAGGAGAAGCUCACCCCCACGGAUAUUCACACACACACACACACACUCGUGCUCCGCACUCUUGUUCCUAAAAAACCCUCACACUCUCAUCUCCCUCACUCUGUAAGACCCAUCGUCUCUGCUAUACAUCCCCCUCUUACCACCCAACCUGAC
ensembl:lncRNA